GUGGUUCGUCACGUCGGACGUGAAACUCUGGGGCUUAACCCCAGACCUGCAUUCGAUACGGGCGUGCUUGAGUAUGGUAGGGGAGUCUGGAAUUCCUGGUGUAGCGGUGGAAUGCGCAGAUAUCAGGAGGAACAUCAAUGGCGAAGGCAGGACUCUGGGCCAUUACUGACACUGAGGAGCGAAAGCGUGGGGAGCGAACAGGAUUAGGUACCCUGGUAGUCCACGCCGUAAACGGUGGGCACUAGUUGUGGGGACCUUCCACGGUCUCUGCGACGCAGCUAACGCAUUAAGUGCCCCGCCUGGGGAGUACGAUCGCAAGAUUAAAACUCAAAGGAAUUGACGGGGCCCCGCACAAGCAGCGGAGCAUGCGGCUUAAUUCAACGCAACGCGAAGAACCUUACCAAGGCUUGACAUAUACAGGAAUAUGGCAGAGAUGUCAUAGCCGCAAGGUCUGUAUACAGGUGGUGCAUGGUUGUCGUCAGCUCGUGUCGUGAGAUGUUGGGUUAAGUCCCGCAACGAGCGCAACCCUCGUUCUGUGUUGCCAGCAUUUAGUUGGGGACUCACAGGAGACUGCCGGGGUUAACUCGGAGGAAGGUGGGGAUGACGUCAAAUCAUCAUGCCCCUUAUGUCUUGGGCUGCACGCAUGCUACAAUGGCUGGUACAAACGGCUGCAAUACCGCAAGGUGGAGCGAAUCCGAGAAAGCCAGUCUCAGUUCGGAUUGGGGUCUGCAACUCGACCCCAUGAAGUCGGAGUUGCU
rnacentral:rRNA from 1 species